GAUGAACGCUGGCGGCGUGCCUAAUACAUGCAAGUCGAGCGAACAGACGAGGAGCUUGCUCCUCUGACGUUAGCGGCGGACGGGCGAGUAACACGUGGAUAACCUACCUAUAAGACUGGGAUAACUUCGGGAAACCGGAGCUAAUACCGGAUAAUAUAUUGAACCGCAUGGUUCAAUAGUGAAAGACGGUUUUGCUGUCACUUAUAGAUGGAUCCGCGCCGCAUUAGCUAGUUGGUAAGGUAACGGCUUACCAAGGCAACGAUGCGUAGCCGACCUGAGAGGGUGAUCGGCCACACUGGAACUGAGACACGGUCCAGACUCCUACGGGAGGCAGCGGUAGGGAAUCUUCCGCAAUGGGCGAAAGCCUGACGGAGCAACGCCGCGUGAGUGAUGAAGGUCUUCGGAUCGUAAAACUCUGUUAUUAGGGAAGAACAAAUGUGUAAGUAACUAUGCACGUCUUGACGGUACCUAAUCAGAAAGCCACGGCUAACUACGUG
rnacentral:rRNA from 1 species